CCUACGGGGGGCAGCAGUGGGGAAUAUUGGGCAAUGGGCGCAAGCCUGACCCAGCAACGCCGCGUGAAGGAAGAAGGCUUUCGGGUUGUAAACUUCUUUUCUCAGGGACGAAGCAAGUGACGGUACCUGAGGAAUAAGCCACGGCUAACUACGUGCCAGCAGCCGCGGUACUACGUAGGUGGCGAGCGUUAUCCGGAUUUACUGGGGGUAAAGGGCGGGUAGGCGGGUCUGCAAGUCAGAUGUGAAAACCACGGGCUCAACCUGUGGCCUGCAUUGGAAACUGUAGUUCUUGAGUACUGGAGAGGCAGACGGAAUUCCUAGUGUAGCGGUGAAAUGCGUAGAUAUUAGGAGGAACACCAGUGGCGAAGGCGGUCUGCUGGACAGCAACUGACGCUGAGGCGCGAAAGCGUGGGGAGCAAACAGGAUUAGAUACCCCUGUAGUC
rnacentral:rRNA from 1 species